rnacentral:rRNA from 1 species
GACGAACGCUGGCGGCGUGCUUAACACAUGCAAGUCGAACGGUGAAGGGACCAGCUUGCUGGUUCUGGAUGAGUGGCGAACGGGUGAGUAACACGUGAGUAACCUGCCCCCUUCUUCUGGAUAACCGCAUGAAAGUGUGGCUAAUACGGGAUAUUCUGGGUCUGUCGCAUGGCGGGCCCGGGAAAGAUAUUGCUUCGGUGGGGGAUGGGCUCGCGGCCUAUCAGCUUGUUGGUGGGGUGAUGGCCUACCAAGGCGGUGACGGGUAGCGGGCCUGAGAGGGGGGACGGUCACACUGGGACUGAGACACGGCCCAGACUCCUACGGGAGGCAGCAGUGGGGAAUAUUGCACAAUGGGCGCAAGCCUGAUGCAGCGACGCCGCGUGAGGGAUGGAGGCCUUCGGGUUGUAAACCUCUUUCGCCAGUGAAGCAGGCCUGCUCCUUGUGGGUGGGUUGACGGUAGCUGGAUAAGAAGCGCCGGCUAACUACGUG